rnacentral:tRNA from 1 species
UUCCCCACUCAUGGAUAGAACCUGUGCCUCUUGCUGGGCAGACAGAUUCUUUACCACUGAGCCACUUGGGA